ensembl:lncRNA
GAGUCCAGUGUGAGCAAGUGUAAACCAACGGGGGCGUGGCUGGUGCAGGUCCGGGCUCUCACGUGACAUUACCCCCCCUUCCAGGGACCGCUCCUGCGGGCCUAGGACCCCGACGUCGUCGCCAAAGGUUCUGGGCGGUGCGGAUGGUCUUGAUGGAAGGCGGCGAGGAAGGCGGGGUCCAUGAUAUCGUCCCGAGGCACCCAGGCUCUUUCCUCUGGACCAUAACCCUCCCAGUCUAUGAGGUAUUCAAGGCGACCCCGACGACGUCGGGAGUCCAGGAUUUCCCGGAUGGCAUAGAUAGGACCCUCUUCAAGCAAGAGCGGCAGCGGGGACACGUCGACGGCAGGCUGUGAGGAAGAGGGGAGAGAGGUGAUCGGCGGGUGAUAGGGUUUGAGAAAUGACACAUGAAACACAGGGUGGAUACGAUAGUGAGGGGGGAGUCGUAGCUUAAAGGACACAUUGUUGACCUGAGAGAUGAUGACAAAGGGGCCAAUGAAGCGAGGACUUAACUUGCAGGAGGGCAGUCGCAUCCGGAUGUCUCGAGUGGAGAGCCACACCCUCUGUCCGACUGUGUAGUCUUCUCCGAGCAUCCGCAUGAUGCUGGUGGCGACGGACUGCCCUCUGGAGGUGACGGUGGGUCUCGCUCCAGCCCCUCUCACUCUGCUAGAACCAGUAAUUAACCGCGGGAACCGUGGACGGUGGAAAAAGGGGAGUUUGGUACCCAAGUACGCACUGAAAGGGAGUGAGCCCUGUUGUGGCCUGACCGAGGGAGUUCUGGGCGUACUCAGCCCAGGCGAGGAACUGGCUCCAGCUGUGCUGAUGGUCGUGGCAGAAGGUUCGCAGGAACCGACUUAUCUCCUGGACCUUCCUCUCUGUCUGCCCGUUCAUCUGUGGUUGGUAUCCCGAGGACAGACUGACGUUCAGACCUAGGCACGAGAGAAAGGAUCUCCAAAAUCGAGAGAUGAAUUGCGGGCCCCGAUCCGAUACCACUUCCUCCGGGAUUCCGAAGUGCCGGAAGACGUGCUCGAACAGCGCCGUCGCGGAUUCAGCUGUGGUGGGAAGACGCAACAUCGGGAUUCAUUUGCAGGACUUGGAGAAUCGAUCGACAACGAUAAAAAUGCACGUAUAUCCGUCGGAUGCGGGGAGGUCAGUGAUGAAGUCAAUGCUUAGGUGUGACCAAGGCCUCUGGGGAAUGGGCAGCGGUUGCGUAUUUGCCAUGGCGCAGGCAGCGCACCCCCCGCCACGAACCUACGAACCAUCUCAGCCAUGCCACGCCACUAGAAGCGCUCCUUGAGGAGUGAGAGGGUCAAAUUGGCCCCCUGGUGACCUAUGCCCAGUGAGGAGUGCGUAGAUUCGAUGACCUGCUCCCACAGGGAGACGGGGAUGUAGGUCUUCCCGGCGGGGGUGCCUGGCGGAGCUGGGUCCUCCACUAAAGGGUAUUUUAUACUCGGUUUUUACGCAUAAACGUAACAAGUAAGUUACACGCAAGUUACAUAAACGCAGUUGUUUUGAUUUAUAGUUCCUUUAGGUUCCCCAAGGGUUGUGCGUGUUGCAAAGCGAUUCAACGCGAGAACAGUAGGUGGAGUAAAGUUUUUUUGCCUACCCCAUGACACGAAUGGACACGAUGAACGGGAGAUUUUUCUGUUGAAAAUGCCUUACUUUAUAGACAAUAACCAUCAUACACCCCCAUUGCACUAAACAACUCUCAAACAAAUAAAUAUUGGAUUGUUAGUCUAUUAAGUAUUGUAUUUUAUUAAUUAGCCUGUUGUUAACCUUUCCUGCUAAUCAUAGUCUGAGAUUACAGGGGAGACUUUUGUUUACUGCUCCAGAGCCGAAGUGAUCUAUAUUCUUAACUCCGGGGUUAUCUCCCUUUCCCUUCUGAAUGUUGAGUGAAGUAAGCGUAUUUAUUGCAGCGGGACAAAGGAAAAUGAAUACGGGCUCAGCUUGCCUCACGUGUGCAAUAACAUAUGCCGUUUAAUCAUAUUUGGUAGAAUGAAGGACAAAUUAGUUGUGAAUACUAUCACCGAGUUUGAAAGGUAGGCUAUUGGUCAGGUAAUAGCCGAGUGACAGCUGAUUUUCUUUCUGAUUUGACAGUAGCCUACAUCUGUGUGUUUUAAGCAAAUAAAAUGUGAAAUAGGCUAUUUACCAACGGGCACCUGCUAUCUUGGAUUAUACAGUAAAUAAGUUGCGAAAUGAAACAAAAACACAUCACAGUUAAAGUUGUAUUAGUAUUGAUUGAUUCACAUCGAUAUGAAUGGAUGACAUGACUAACAAGUGGCGAAAAAUGAAUAUGAAAGUACCAGUACCAGUGGCGAAAAAAGACAGAUCACAUGAUGCAGAAGUUCGUUUAUUGAUACAUAUUUUAAUGACGGCCACAGCGCUUUAAAACGCCGUGUUUAUAAGUUACAUUAUUCAAAGAUGAAAGAUAGAAGGCGAGAGAAUCGCCAGGUGUACCUUCUCAUCAUGAGUGAAUGUCAUGAAUGUCAGUGCUUGUAAUACAAUGGUGUUGGCCGCAAGUUAACUCCACUUCACGUUAAUGUUAACUUUUGUAUAUGAGCAGACCAGGCUCCAUUCUAUCGCUUGCUUCAGGGGUGA